rnacentral:misc_RNA from 1 species
GUGGGAGGGGGCUUGCUCCCGAUAGCGGUGGAUCAGUCAGUUUAUUUGUUACUGACACAUCGCUAUCGGGAGCAAGCCCCCUCCCAC